rnacentral:lncRNA from 1 species
CCGUUGCCUAGAAGGGCCUCAGGCGCAAGGAAGGCAUGCAAGUCUCUGUUGCCACUCGCCGGCUUUGUUCGGAGGACUGCGUGUGGUUCGCGACUCAAGAUCUUCCGCACUGAAUCCAAGGAGGCGUUCAGGAAAAGUGUGCUGGACAGAUCCUUAGGAGCGCAACAUUUACUGUGUUUGAGAAUGACGUUCUCUGCUUUUGAACACUCACCCUUCUACGUAAGGCUCUGUGACCUACUCCAUCUUGUCUUCCUAAAAUAAUUCUCACCCUAUUACAGGAAGGUGGGGCGUAUACACGUUCUCUUUCCUGUCAGGUGGUGAAAUAGACUGAAGGGGGUAUUAAUUCUAAGACAUCAUUCCUGAAAAUCAGAAUCAUGUUUUACCCCCAAGAGAAUUAAUUGCACAUAAGUGUUGCAGAGGAAGUAAAAGAUUUAAAAGGAAAAGAGAAGAGGAAAAGGGUCACUGAGAUGCCCCUGGCUGGAGAGGAUGCAGAGAAAGACAGGAAAGUUCAAACAUAAGACAUUUGAAGAUAGCAAGUCGCCCACUGAAGGAAGUGACCCAGAGCAUGAAAACAGUGGUCCUCAGUUCUGUGCCUCCAUGACGGGGAAGAGAGGUCAUGGUGAAAGGAGACAGUUUGUGUGCACUGAGUGUGGAAAAGCCUUCAGUCAGAGUGCCAACCUCACUGUGCAUGAGCGAAUCCACACAGGAGAGAAGCCUUAUAAGUGUAAGGAAUGUGGAAAAGCCUUCAGUCACAGCUCCAACCUUGUGGUUCAUCGAAGAAUCCACACGGGACUUAAGCCGUACACGUGCAGUGAUUGUGGGAAGGCAUUCAGUGGGAAGUCACAUCUCAGCCGGCACCAGGAAGUCCACAGUGGGGAGAAAACGCACAAAUGUAAAGAGUGUGGGAAAGCCUUCAGCCGGAGCUCAGGACUUAUCUCUCAUCACAGAGUUCAUACUGGCGAGAAGCCCUACACUUGUAUUGAGUGUGGGAAAGCCUUUAGCAGGAGUUCAAACCUCACUCAACAUCAGAGAAUGCACAGAGGGAAAAAGAUUUACAAAUGUAAAGAGUGUGGGAAAACAUGUGGUUCUAAUACAAAGAUUAUGGACCAUCAGAGAAUUCACACUGGGGAGAAGCCCUACGAGUGUGCCGAGUGUGGGAAAGCCUUCAUCUUCAGGAAGGCUCUUAAUGAACACCAGAGACUCCACCGCAGAGAGAAACCUUACAAAUGUAAUGAGUGUGGGAAAGCCUUUACUUCUAACCGAAACCUUAUAGAUCAUCAGAGAGUUCACACUGGAGAGAAGCCUUAUAAAUGUAAUGAAUGUGGUAAGACAUUCAGGCAGACAUCUCAGGUUAUUCUACAUUUGAGAACUCAUACUAAAGAGAAACCCUAUAAGUGUAGUGAGUGUGGGAGAGCUUAUCGUUACAGCUCCCAGCUCAUUCAGCAUCAAAGGAAGCACAAUGAAGAGAAAGAAACCUUACUGUUUACCAGCCAGGUGUGAUGGCACUUGCCGUUAAUCCCGGCAUUUAGGAGACAUUAGUUUUAGGCCAGCCUGGUCUACAUAGCGAGUUCUAGACUAGCCAAGGCCACAAAGUGAGACCCUGUCUUAGGGAAAAAAAUGGCAAUAAUGUUAAUUACUACUUUUUCGAAAAUUAGAUUUUUUAAUAACAUUAAAAUUAAUUCUGCUUCUACAAAUCCGUACACAGAAAAUAGUAAGUAGCUAAAGUCUAACAAAAGGGAUAUUCAUGCCAACAUUAUACAUAGCUAAAGGGGAAAACAAAGAAACAAACAAAAUACCAAACCAAACAACCAAACAGAGACCACCCAAACUGUAGAUUAUUAUAUGAGCAGUGUGAAAGGAAUGAUAGUCUAUUCAUAUUAUGCUUCUGAAACCAUUUUGUUUUUAAAAGAAUUUUUAAUGUAUGCCAUGGGAGAAAUUUCUGGAUAACAUGGAAAGUGGAGGAAUGAAAUAUCCAGAUAAAAUAUUUUCACCUAGGAAAACGGAGAAAGAGAAGAACCAAACCUAAAUUUUCACCAUAGUUAUCUCGAGGUGAUAGGUUGUAGAUUAUUUCUAUUUUCUUCUGUAUACUUUUCUAGGCUUUCUAGAUUUUCUACAAUGAGAGUGUUACUUUUAUAUUUACAAAAAAGUAUAAUCUAUUUUAAAUACAAGCACAUGCUUGUUUUUAAUUCAGUGGUAGGAAAAGUACCUAUUGUGUAGUCUUUAAAUCUUGGGAUUCACCCUAAUCCUGGCACUGGCAGAAGUGGAAUUAUGAGCGAAUCCAUUUCUUUUAGAAUCCACUUCCUGCUACUGAAGGGGGUGGAACUUUAGUGCACCCCUUAGUGUGUAGUGAAAUAAUCGUCCUAUAAUGGAUGACUGAGCUCCACCCUUCCAACAGAGAUGUCUAGACAAUUAGAGGAGACCUGAGUCCUGACCCACUGGCUGAGCACCAGCUUCACUACUUUAGAUGAGUGAUGACACUGCUCGGACUUGUGUGAGAAGGGGAAGGUUGUUCACUUCAGAGGGAUAUGUGAGGAUUAAGUGAAAUGAUGCUAUGAUUAUGUCACACUUGGCACGUGACAGAACAGAGCGCACACCUUUAAUACCAGCAUUUGGGAGGCAGAGGCAGGCAGAUCUCUGCGUUUGAGCCCACCCCGAUCUACACAGUGGGCUCCAGGACAGCCAGGGCUACACAGAAAUCCUGUCUUGAAAAACAAAACUUGUCUGAGUUGAGAAGAAAAUGGGUAACAACCUAUCAUUUUAUUAUUAUAAUAAUAUAUUUAUUUUUAUUUUAUUGGUGUUUUUCCUGCAUGUGUGUCUGUGUGGGGUGUCAGAUCUCCUGAAACUAGAGUUACAGACAAUUGUGAGCUGCCAUGUGAUUGCUGGGGAUUGAACCUGGGUCCUCUGUAAGAACAGCCCUGAGCCAUCUCUUCAGCCUCCAAAAUAUCAUUUUAUAUGGUUUUGAUUAAAGGGAAAUCUGGCGCAUGCCUUUAAUCCCAGCACUCGGGAGGCAGAGGCAGGCAAAUUUCUGAGUUCGAGGCCAGCCUGGUCUACAGAGUGAGUUUCAGGACAGCCAGGGCUACACAGAGAAACCCUGUCUCGGGGGGAAAAAAGGGGGGGGGGAAUCUGUAAGACAAUGCUGGAAGGUACUCUCCCGAUGCUGAGAGGAUGCUUUUAAAUCAUGUGUACUGCAUUCUAGAUGGAGCUCAAUAGGCUGAUUCUCCACAUCAGCUCUCUCUGUCUCUCUAGUCUUCUUGCAGGCUAACAAUAAAUACCCUAAAUGUUUAACAUGUCUCUAGGGCAAUAGUUUCCAGUCUUCUGGAGAUGAAUUUGUUUUUGUGUGUUUAGGGAUGGAUCGAUUUUCAUUGUUUUAUGACUUGAAAGAAGCAAAACAUUGUCUCUACAGAGGAAUAAAUAUCACUGAAGUAAGAAGGCUGUAAACUCGAGAAAAAUGCAGUGCUCUGCAAAAAAGUCUUUGCCGAGCUGGCAAUAGCUACUCAUUUCUGGUUUUUAGCCUAACAGAUUAAAGCUUUAUCUCCAACUAGUGAUUGGAAACAUUGUCUUCUAACAGUUGGUGUAGUGUCAGAAGCCUCCUCUUAGAUGGCAAGUUUUGGAUGUUGGAGCUUAGAAUCCUUGGAUUCAUAGUUUGCUCACACGAAGUAGUCCCUGAUGCUCAAGUGUGAGCCUUUCACCUCCUGAGUCUACUUUUGACUGCUGCUUCACAAACCUUUUGUGAGAAGCAAGAAAAAUGUGGGAUUUGUUUUUGUGUGCAAAGUAUGAAACUCAAGGGGGCAGGUCACAUGGCCCAGUGUGUAAAGGCAAUUGCCUGACCAACCUGAGUGUCAUCCCAGAACCCACGUAAAGGUGAAAGGAAAGAGCUGACUCCACAAAGUUGUCUUCUGACUUCCAUACUUGUGCCGUGGCAUGUGAGUGCCUGAACACUCUGUCACACACAGGCACACAUCUGGCGCACAUAUAAAAUAACAGUAAGAUAUUUUACAGUAUGGAACUUAUCAGUUGUAGAAAAUUAUUUUAAAUAACUUAUUAAAAUCCCAUUCCAUCAAGCCAGAUGUGGUGGCCCAACACUGAGGAGGCAGAGGCAGAUGCAUCUCUGACUUUGGGGCCAACCUGGUCCACAGAGGGAGUGAGUUCCAGGAUAGCUAGGGCUACCUAGAGAAACACUGUCUCAAAAAGACAAAAACAAACAAGCAAAAUUCCUUUCCAUCACUCAUAGAUGUGGCAGGUGUCUUAUUUGUCUUAUACAUAUCACCUCCUUAUUUAGAAUAUAAUUAUUUUAUUAGCCUUGGAAAAACUGAGCUGACCUUCCUGAUAUCUGAUCCUUCCCACUCCACUAUUCUUUCUAUAUGUAUCCCUUAUUAACUAUAGACUUUCAUCAUGUUCAGAGUCUUUCUAGUCAAUGCCCCAGACCCAGAAGCCAUAAAAGAACUGUUACAUGUCACCAACCGUGAUAACAAAGUCACAGAUACAUAACAAACUGGGGUUGGCUAUCACAGUGCAUGCCUUCCUCCAAGCGCUCAGGAAGUGGAUCUCUGUGAGUAGGAGGCUAGCAUGGUCUACCUAGCCAGUUCCAGACCCUGUCCCAAAGAAACAAACUGGGAACAACCUGCAGCUCCAAUCCUCAGAGUCAGGUUUCAGGUGGAAACCAAGAAAACUCACUCCAAAGAUGGAAGCUUAUAAAUGAAAGCUUCCUUUCCUGAGCGCUCAGGGAGGCAGUCAGCUUGGGAUCUGAACCUCGUCCCUGAGGGGAAGCUGUAUCACAGAUUUAGAGGAAAAUGAGGGGGGCUGAGGGGGGCUUAGGAUCAGCCAAUCAUGUUUUGACAUUAAGGGUUAAGUGAGGGAAUAUCUGUUGGAGACUGAGCCUUUUCCAGGACACCUGGCUUUAAGGCCCUUAACUCAUCCUCCUAGAUGUUUGGUCUGGAGCUCAAGGGAACAAAGGAGCUGGUUAGAUGGGUGCAGUUGAUGAGAGCCGGGCAGGCAGUCUGUUAUAUAUUUUUACAAUUCAGACACCUUUGUUAAAAUAACAGCAAGUUUUACAUAAACUGGUAGGUUUAUGAGGCAAUUAAGAAAAUCUUUGGAGGGGCAGGGUAGGAGCAGGUCCCUGAGCCUGGAGAUAUGAACACUGCUUGACCCUGUUAACAAAAUGGGGGAGCAAAAUGGGAGAAUUGCUUUUGAGAAGGCUGGGCUCCGGUGGCUUGCUCCUUAUAGUCAGCAAAGCCCUGCCAUUCCUUUGAGCAUAUGAGUUUACAAGACUCAGCUGUUAUCUCUUCCUUUGAAAAUACAAUAUCUUCCUGAAAUAGUGUUCCUGAAUAGGCUUUGAAUGUUUUUCUUUUAUCUGCAAUUCAGGGUUACCUCUCAUGAAUGCCACCUAUACUUGUGUGCUUAUGCGUUCUGUUAAGUGUGUUCACACAUUGAACUUUUGUUUAGAUUUUUGCCUCUCCUGAUUGGUUAUCAGCAAGCUUGUAAGGGUCUGACUGUAUUAAAUCGAUGAGGAGGCUCAUAAAUCAGUGAUGUGACUGUUAAACCUUAAAACUUGUAGGAUGUUUGCACCCUUUGGCCCAACAGUUUUUCUUCUAGAAAAGUAUCCUGGAGAAAUGAACAAGAUUUAAUAAUAAAUGGACAAAAUUUAAUAAUA